GGGCGCGUGGCGAAACAGGCAGACGCUGGGGACUUAAAAUCCCUUGUCCGAAAGGACGUGCGGGUUCGAUUCCCGCCACGCCCA
rnacentral:tRNA from 1 species